UACGUAGGUGGCAAGCGUUGUCCGGAUUUACUGGGCGUAAAGAGCGCGCAGGCGGUCGGAUAAGUCGAAUGUGAAAGCCCCCGGCUCAACUGGGGAGGGUCAUUCGAUACUGUUCGACUCGAAGGCAGGAGAGGGAAGUGGAAUUCCCGGUGUAGUGGUGAAAUGCGUAGAUAUCAGGAGGAACACCGGUGGCGAAGGCGGAUCUCUGGGCCUGUCCUGACGCUGAGGCGCGAAAGCUAGGGGAGCGAACAGG
rnacentral:rRNA from 1 species